AGAAGGCCACGUAGUACCAGAGCAGCUUCUUGUGCUUCUCCAGGGGCUUCUUCCUAGACCAGAGAAUCCCCAAGGACUCAUUCCGGAGGCCGACAGGUGAUGCUUCUGUCGGAAAACUGAAAGGAAGUCAGGAAGGGAGAGGCAGUGGCUUCUUAAUGUCACUUCCAGUGGGAAUGCCUGAGAAAGCUUCCGGACUGUACCCAUCCCUGAGGCUGGAACAGGAGGGGCUUCCCAUGAAGGUGGAAAUUAGAAAACUCACAUCAUCUCUAAGAGCUAAAGGGGUGAGCGCAGACCUGACCACAGCAGAGGAACUCAGCUUUCAAGAAAGUACCCGUCAAGCAGAAGGGAGUUGAGGUAUUUUGGGAGCAGAGAAAAGGGAAAGCCUGGACCUUUCAGCUCUGGUUGACAGGGCUGAGUUUGGCAUGUCCUGCCCACAGACAGGGCCCUGCCCUUCCGUGGAGGAGGAUGGUGGCCACUCCCUCUGGCUCACGCCUCUGUCUGCCUGAGGCUACCACAGACUGGAAUGUGCUUGGCCCUCAAAGGACAAGCUGGACCACUAGGAGCAGCCUUCAUCAGGCAGCAAAUUGCAGCUGGCGGCUAGACAGCCAGCUUCCUUGCACUCAGAUGGGCAAUGCUGGAGCAGGUUCCUAGAGAUCCCUGGUGAGGUUGAGCCCAAGUUGCCCACAGUGGAAACUUCCGUAUCUGCUCCUUCCCCAUCCCUGGCUCAUUGGCCUCCCCUCUGCCUCCUUGCAUUUGAAUCCCCGCUUUGUGGUCUCCUUCUUGUCCUGUCUCCCCCGACCCCCAUCCCCACCAGGCCAGUGCUGCAUGGCACUGUCACACAAAUCAACAGCAUCACGCUGGGUUCCAUAUCACCAGCAACUUCUAGUCCUGACUACAGGAUCUCUGGUCUGGCGAGCUGGUCCCACAGGCUGGCAGUGAACAUGAUUAUGUGAAUUUUAGGUGAACAUUAAGGACCUAGCAUCUGAAUAAAACAAGACUUGUGAACUUGGGCAGGAGCAGGAGUCAGGUUCCCCAAAACCCAAAGAUCUGAGACACCUGCAAGGUGGAGGUUUGAGGCCUAAGAAGUCAUGAGCAGCGUGUGGCCUGCCUUGGCAGCUGGCCGGCCUCUGGCGUACCUGCCACACACAGCACAGGCUCAGACAGCAGCUGUGGCUCUUUGGGGGUCCUUGUCACAGAUCCCCAGGCUCAUUCAACAUAGCUUAGCAGCAGCAGCAACAAAUGGAUUUUGUUCAUAAACACUUUGCUGCUUAUUGGCUGAUGAAAUAAUGGGCAUAAUGGAUCAUCAGCAAGGUAGACAAUCGACAUGGGGUCAAAUCCCAACACUGCUUCUUCCUAACAGUACAAGCUGGAAGAACAUUCCAGAACCUCUCUGAGCUCCUAGGUCCUCAUAAGUGAAACGGACGACACGCCUGCAGGUGCUGUGAAGAUGAAACACGACCACAGGUACCACAAGUGAGGCUGACAAGCGCCAGUCCGUCCACGUCUGUGUUCCCCACAUACACCCCCACAUUUCUACAGCCUUUGGAGAAAGGGCCCCCCACAGCUGGGACAGCAGGUGCAAACAGCUGCUCAUUGAAUUCAGCGCGGGGAACUUCUAGACUGAUUUCAGGCACGUCACAAUAAUUUCCCUGUUGCUAUUACUGUUACUAACUACUGAAGUGGUGACGGCACCUCUCACAUAUUAACUCAUCAAAUCUUCACAGUGAUCCUCUUCUGAGGAUUUGAUGAGAUACUAUCUCCAUUUCACAAAUGAGCAAACUAAGGCUCAGAGAGCUUGGUAACUGGGCCCCUCAUCACUUAGGAGCACAGUGGCUAAAACCCAGGCAGUGAGACCCAGAGACCUGGCUCAUAAUUACAAUGCUAUACUGUUUGGUUUGUGGAAACGUCAAGAAUAUUCUUUCUCCUGCACUGUCCCUAGAGCAAACUUUUCUUCCAGUGCCUCUAUACUACCAUCUCCGCUAUGGCCACCCAACUACCCCUAUCAUGACUUUCCUAUUGGAGCAGAAGGUUCUUCUUAAUACCUUUUAAACACUGUCAGUAGCAUCUGACAUGGAAACGCCCAUUGGGGGGGAUGGUCUUCGGUGGCAGAAUAUCACUUACCUGGACCCCAGGCUGGGCGAUGAAGUGCCUGUCUGUCGCCUCCACCGCCAGCUCUAGGCAGUUGCUCCCACCCCAAGCUUCACAGGAAUAGACCAGCAGCUGCUCUGCCAAGUCCUCGUCACUGCUAUAACACUCUGUGAACAGCUCUGCAGGGCAGGGAGAGGGACACUGGAGUGGGCUGCACAUACCUGAAACUGUCUACACCACCCAGGCAACCCCUGAGUCCAAGGGCAGCCUGGGUGAGAGAGUCCAGGCUUACAAAAGGCACAGAGGAUGUCACUGAGGCACCAUUCCUGACUGGCAGAUGAGGCAUAGUACAAAAAGGGGGUGGGGCCCUAUAGCAUUAAGGGCAUGCUGUAAGUUGAGCACCCAAGAGACUGCAACAAACUGGUCAACCUAAGUAAGAAACUUGGCCUGUUGUACUGAUUCACACAUGUAGUGUGUGUGUGGUCUAUGAAAAUUAGGUCAACUUAAGGAGGUCAGUGUAGGGAUUUGCAGCUCAAAUCACUGAGUUCAUCUCCUACUGCCACAAGGAGCGCUGAGGGUGUGAUGUACAGAGGUGGCCAGCUGUGGAGGCUCCACCAGGAGCUCUGAGGGUGUGAUGUACAGAGGUGGCCAGCUGUGGAGGCUCCACCAGGAGCUCUGAGGGUGUGGCCUAGGGAGGUGGCCAGCUGUGGAGGCUCCACCAGGAGCUCUGAGGGUGUGGCCUAGGGAGGUGGCCAGCUGUGGAGGCUCCACCAGGAGCUCUGAGGGUGUGGCCUAGGGAGGUGGCCAGCUGUGGAGGGUCUCCUGUAUUCCAUUGCCUAAUGACAAAGAAAUUGGAGUGUAGAUUGUCAGAGGAAACUUUUUUAAAAGUCAAGAUAUUAGGAACCAUUGCCUAAUUGAGGUCAUCUGGAAGUGACCAUAAUAUCCUUAAAAUUUUAGUACAUUAAAAGAAAUAAUUAGACAUCUUUUUCCUAACACAGAGAAGCUAGAAAACCUUUUACAUUAAAGAAGACGAGAGCCAAGCACAGAGGCACACAGCACAUCACAAACUAAAACCCACCAGGUGAAAACAGAAAACGGAGGAGGCCAACACCUCUCUGCUGGUUGGAGGCGACUUCCUGAUUCAUCACAGGCUGAAUGACCUGGCCUCUGCACAGAGGCACUGACAAGCUUUGUUCACGGACUAAACAGCACACAGAGGUCACAGGUCCUGCAACGCUCAGGACGCCCGUCCCCUCCUCCACGCCAGGUAAUGAGCAAUCUCACCGCAGCCCCCACAGAAAGCUCAGAGUCUCCUGACUUCCAGGAAGCACACAACUGGCAGCACCGGCCAUUACUGGAGUCACCUGUGGGGAUUUGGGGCUGGGGAAGCAGCCCACGAUGCUGCUCGGGCCGCUGCCUCUGCCGUCAGUGCUAACCACACGUGUCGCAGACCCAGAGGGCUGGAGUCUUUGGCAGAAUAUUUCUGUAUAUGAAACUGACAGGCUAACUUGUUAGUUCAAAAGUCAGGGUAAAUCUCAGACCUGUCACAGUGUUGUAACAGCAAAACACAAGUCUAAAAUCCAAAGAAACAAAAAAACCCUGCACACCCAAGCAUGUUCACUCUUAGAAACAUCCACAGGGGCCAGGGCCUGGAGGCUGUGGCUUCUGUGUACCCAGAUCUUGGGGCCUGCAGCCCUCAGUAAGGCUGGCAGGGAGAGCUCCGACAUGCCGCUAACCUCAGCCACCUGGCCCGCGAGUGUCACACAUGGCAGACCUGCCCCCACUGUGGUGUCCUAUCACUAGGGACUUGAGUGUCACACGUGGCAGACCUUCCCCCACUGUGGUGUCCUAUCACCAAGGACUCGAGUGUCACACACGGCAGACCUGCCCCCACUGUGGUGUCCUGUCACCAGAGACUCAAGUGUCACAUGUGGCAGACCUGCCUCCACUGUGGUGUCCUGUCACCGGGGACUCGAGUGUCACACACGGCAGACCUGCCCCCACUGUGGUGUCCUGUCACUGGAGACUCAAGUGUCACACAUGCAGACCUGCCCCCACUGUGGUGUCCUGUCACCAUGGACUCAAGUGUCACAUGUGGCAAACUGCCCCCACUGUGGUGUCCUGUCACUGGGGACUCGAGUGUCACACACGACAGACCUGCCCCCACUGUGGUGUCCUGUCACUGGGGACUCACCGACGGCACGGGUCUCAUACUCAUUCGCCAGCUCCUCAGACUCCCCAGCAGCAUUGAUAUCAUUCUUCACUUUGGCCAGAGUCUUCAGGAGCUUGCUGGCCCCCAAGGCUGCCAGAGUACAGCCCCUGGUCUUUUCAUGGGGGGGGGGGGUGGAGAAUUUUACAGUUAAUUCAUAACGCCUUCAAGUCAACACUCCUCAGAGGAGGAACUCAUGGCAGAGGAGGCAAUGGUAGAAUCUAAACUGUUCCUAAUGAUGCAAAGUAAAAUUUGUAAUGAGCACAAAAUAACCCUGAGCCUGGAUGUGCUUGAGGUCUUGAACUUGGAAUCAGCAUACAAAAUAUCAUAUCAAGAUAAAGUCAUGAGAAAAUGACAGAAGACAAUGAUGGUAGGAGGUCUGACUAACCCUCUCUCAUACUGACACAUCUCCAAGAGUUGGUGGGGGGGAGGAUAAGAACACAGAAGACCCAGACAACAUUCCCAGAAAGGCUGCCUGAAUUCCAUAUCCAAUUUCAUUCUCUAAAAAUUGAGAAUGGAGUGCACAUAUCCAUAUAUCGUUUACAAAAAUUAUU